rnacentral:tRNA from 1 species
GAUUGCGUAGCUCAGCUGGUAGAGCAAGUGGCUUUUAACCUCUAGGUCCUGGGUUCGAUCCCCAGCGCAAUCA